UCGUGCAGCGCAUGUGUAUUGAAAAAAAAUAUGGGUCCAAGCACGCUCACGGUCCAGUCCACGUCCAGAAUCCAGAACCAGCCUCUAAAGUUUAAACUGUUCUUUUCUCUUUGACGCCGCUAUGCCGCUAAUAAAGUGAUAAACGUAGAUGUGUAAAACCAAACCCUAUAGAAGGAUUAGGAAACCGAAGUAAUAUAAAUCACAUUUUACUAAUAUACUUCGAUAAGUCAAAAAUGUCCAAUAAAUCAACAUGGACAGUUGUAAAAAUUUUAAAAGACAAUUCCGUUGAAGCUGUACCUACAAAUUGGUUGUCUGGAGACAAGUGUUUCUGGCCACGCUACCCAAAAGAACGUAUCAUUAAAGCAGUUAAAUUCUGUGAACCAGCUUCAUCCUCUUGGGAACAGCAUGAUAUUUCUGCUUUUAGGAAUGCCACCUAUGGAGACUACGUAACGGCAAGAAAGAAAAGUCAGAAAGCAGAAACCAUAUCUGAUCUCAAUACAGAUUCGGAAAUAAAAAGAAAGAUCAAGCCACCAAAUAGAUUAGCUGCGUCCUCCAGUACAUCUGAUUCAGAAUCUGAUGAAUCUGCCCAUAGCAGAAACCCGACAUCAUUCUGUGCUUAAGAAAUGUCCUACAGUGGUUUUAAAAGCAUUUAGUGAAGACAAUAAUUCACAAUUAAAUUCAUCUGGAAUGUGACGUAUCAAAUAGGUACUUUUGUAAAUAUUACUGAUGGUGGCAUAGAAAGUGCAGGCAGUUUUAUUACUAGUACACUUAGCACCAAGAAGAUAACUAGUGAUGCAACUGAAAAAAAUUUUCAUUGUGAGAAUAAAAGAAAUCGAAGAAGCAAUAAAAAAAUAUUUAAGAAGGAGUAAGGAAAGGAGUGAUGCAGAGGAAAAAAAGAGGAGAAGCAAAGGCGAAUAAAUUUGAUAAACAGUAUUGUAAGUUAUACAGGGUGAUCCAAUAGUGAAAAUUUUUUGGUAAAUUAUUGAGCAUCAAAGUGCGCAACUUUGCCUCUAUUUAACCAACUCUCUAUAUCUCCUAUAGUUACUGAGAUAGCAAUGCUAUUGACUCGAUUUUGUAACACCCUGUAUAUUAGAUAGAGAAAUAAGAUGUAUUGGAGAGAAUUAUAUGGAUCUCUUAAUUAUUUAUGUAUUUGUUAUUCCUGUAAUAAUUAGAAAAACAAUAAAUACAUUAUCAAAAGUAUUUCUAUAAUUCCAAUGCAGACCUCCAUUAAAUGUACAAAACAAGACAUCUAUGGGUAGCACAAAUUUGGUACAGAGGCGGACAUAUUCUGUGGGUCCGAAAGUGGUACAGUAGUGGACGUCCGUGGGUUGCACGAAGUUGUGACAUUUGUGCGUCCGUGGGACUUCCAAUGGACGUCCAUCGAACAAAAACCGGACGUCCGUUGGAUGUCCGGACUUCCGACUUUGGACAUCCUUUGGAUGUUCAUAGGA